CCUUCAUACACCUGAAUAAGCACUCCUGGCUGGUUAUCAGAGUAUGUCGAGAAGAUUUGCUCUUUCUUGGUAGGAAUCGUUGUGUUCCUUGGAAUCAAGACCGUCAUUACACCACCAGCAGUCUCAAUUCCGAGGCUGAGAGGAGUGACAUCCAAGAGAAGCAAAUCUUGAACCUUCUCAUCCCCUUCACCACUAAGAAUUGCGGCUUGGACAGCAGCUCCAUAUGCCACGGCCUCAUCUGGGUUUAUGCUCUUGCAGAGUUCUUUUCCAUUGAAGAAAUCCCGCAAAAGUUGCUGAACUUUGGGAAUUCUGGUUGACCCACCCACGAGGACAACCUCAUGAACUUGACUCUUAUCAAUCUUGGAGUCACGAAGACAUUUCUCCACGGGUUCCAUGCACUUUCUGAACAAAUCCAUGUUCAGUUCUUCAAAUCUUGCUCUAGUGAUCGUUGCAUAGAAAUCAAUACCCUCAUAAAGAGAAUCAAUCUCAAUAGUUGUCUGUGAGGUUGAAGACAGAGUCCUCUUUGCCCUCUCACAGGCGGUUCUCAAUCUUCUCAGGGCUCUGGCAUUGGUACUAAUAUCCUUCUUGUGCUUCCUCUU
rnacentral:misc_RNA from 1 species